CGGACGGGUGAGUAACGCGUGAGAAUCUGCCCUCAGGAGGGGGAUAACGGCUGGAAACGGCCGCUAAUACCCCAUAUGCCGAGAGGUGAAAUGAAUUUCGCCUGAGGAUGAGCUCGCGUCUGAUUAGCUAGUUGGUGUGGUAAAGGCUCACCAAGGCUUCGAUCAGUAGCUGGUCUGAGAGGAUGAUCAGCCACACUGGGGCUGAGACACGGCCCAGACUCCUACGGGAGGCAGCAGUGGGGAAUUUUCCGCAAUGGGCGCAAGCCUGACGGAGCAACGCCGCGUGAGGGAUGAAGGCCUCUGGGCUGUAAACCUCUUUUAUCAAGGAAGAAGAUCUGACGGUACUUGAUGAAUAAGCCACGGCUAAUUCCGUGCCAGCAGCCGCGGUAAUACGGGAGUGGCAAGCGUUAUCCGGAAUUAUUGGGCGUAAAGCGUCCGCAGGCGGUUUUACAAGUCUGUUGUUAAAACGUGGAGCUCAACUCCAUUUCGGCGAUGGAAACUGUAAGACUAGAGUGUGGUAGGGGCAGAGGGAAUUCCCGGUGUAGCGGUGAAAUGCGUAGAUAUCGGGAAGAACACCAGUGGCGAAGGCGCUCUGCUGGGCCAUAACUGACGCUCAUGGACGAAAGCCAGGGGAGCGAAAGGGAUUAGAUACCCCUGUAGUC
rnacentral:rRNA from 1 species